AAAAAUUUAGUUAAAUAAAUAACAUUAGCUUGUCAAGCUAAAAUUGUCUAAAUUAAAACAAUUUUUA
rnacentral:tRNA from 1 species